GGGGGACGUUAAUGUAAAGUGUUUCCUUACAUGCACCUCAGAUGUUUGUACAGUACUGUAUGAAUUACAGAAGAAAAAGGGAAAGAAAAAAAACACACUAAUCCCAGUACUCACCAGUAAUGGCGCUGAUGGUUGUAUCCCAGUUUGUAGAUUACAAUACAAAGAUUCUUUGACCUUCAGCGAGGAAAUGGAGGAACUCGACUGGGGUCUGUGAGGGAGGAAAUCUAGUUAAACUUGAAUUCCAUCCCAGAUUGAGGUCAUAAUCACUAUUAGUACAGCACGUCAUUCGUUAAUAAUUUUUUUUUUUUUUUUAAACAGACAAACAAACAAUGUAAUUGUUUAGAGUUGAGGGAAGGGAACGGUGGCUCCGUCUCCGAUUAUUCCCUUACAACAGCACGACGCACAGCAUUUCAUCUCAUACACGUUUAUGUUAAGCACGCAGCGUACGGCUUAAAUAAAUCCCCCCAAAGUUACUUUCAUUUCAGGACAGAGUUAUAAUGAAUGACUUAACGAAAUGAAAUCUUUUGUAUCCUGCAACAAGACAACCGGCCACAACAAAGCACAUAGUCUCUAAUAUCCUCUCUCAGACUAUUUUUAUUUAUUUAUUUAAAAUAAAAUAAAAAAACCCUCACACACCGGAUGCUUCCUUCAGAUCACCGCGAGUACGCAAACUUUUGCACGCAGGUGUAACGCGUGUGUGUAGAUUUGUAGAUUAGUACAAUAACGCAGAAGUCGGUACGAACGUCAUUUCUGAAAACACUGUUUGCGUUAAACACGCGCGCGCACACACACACACACACGAGAUAUUUGACUGAUCUCUUUUUUUACCCCGACGCUGAAAAGCGACAUUGAGAAAUUCAGGUCGAGCGGAUGGGGUCUUGCUGCGGCGUCGCUUUGUUGCGAGGUCAGUGCUGAUAACGGGGAGAAAAUCUACUGUAUUGUUUUAGUGUUAUAUUUGUGUCGAUGGUGCAAGUGUAUAAUGUUAAUUUUUUUUUUUUACUAACAGAACUAAAACAUUUUCAAGAUCUCUGGGAGUAUUGCACUAUUCGACGUUAUUAUUUUUAAAUAUUAGUAGACAGUGUUGGCAGUGACGUGAGGUUUUUACAAAAAAUAAUAAUAAUAAUUCUCUUUUCCCUUUUGGUCCAAAUUUCAGACUUCCUUGUUUUUCUUUUCAGUGCUGUUUGAUAUUUGUUUCGAGUCCCCCUCCCCUCCCCUCUCCCCCCCUCUCCCCCUGCCAUCAGUGCUUCUUGACCGAAGUUUGAAACAAAAAUUUUUUAUUGUUAUUGCAGAGGAGGCCAAAUAAAAUAAAUAAUUUUAAAAAAGUG
ensembl:lncRNA